rnacentral:piRNA from 1 species
UGAAAGUCAGUUGGAGAAGUCCUUUGGCCU